UGAGAUCCCAUAUGCUGCAGGGCAGCUAAGCUUCAACUAGAGGAGCCUGCACACUGCAGUGAAGACCCAGGACAGCCAGAAGAAAAAACUCAGUGAAACAAAGUGACAGGUUGUGCCUGCCCCCUUCCCUCCUGUUUCACUGGGACUCUUCCCGACCUUGCACCUUGGACCUCUUCAUCUGACUCUUCAUCAUAUCCUUUUAAUAACCAGUAAAUAGCCUCCCUAAGGGGCAGAUAUUGUUACCAUCCUGAAUUUACAGAUGAGGAACUAAGGCUUAGGAGACAAGGAUUCAAUCCCGGAUACGGGAAGAUCCCACAUGCCCGGGAGCAACUAAGCUCAUGUACCACAGUUACUGAACCUGUGCCCGAGAGUCCACGAGCUGCGACUGCUGAAGCCCAUGAGCUUCGACUGCUGAAGCCUGCCUGCCGAGA